rnacentral:rRNA from 1 species
CCGUAGGUGAACCUGCGGAGGGAUCAUUACUGAGUUUUUGUACUCUAUAAACCAUGUGUGAACGUACCUAUCUUGUAGUGAGAUGAAUGCUGUUUUGGUGGUAGGGCCCUUCUGAAGAGAGGGCACCGCUGCCAGCAGUAUAGUCUCACCACUAUAAAACUCUUUUAUUAUUUUCUAGAUUUUUCAUUGCUGAGUGGCAUAACUAUAAAAAAGUUAAAACUUUCAACAACGGAUCUCUUGGCUCUAGCAUCGAUGAAGAACGCAGCGAAAUGCGAUAAGUAAUGUGAAUUGCAGAAUUCAGUGAAUCAUCGAAUCUUUGAACGCACAUUGCGCCUGGCAGUAUUCUGCCAGGCAUGCCUGUCCGAGCGUCAUUUCACCACUCAAGACUCUUUUGUUCUUGGCGUUGGAGGUCCUGUUCUCCCCUGAACAGGCCGCCGAAAUGUAUCGGCUGUUAUACUUGCCAACUCCCCUGUGUAGUAUAAAAUUUCUAAUUUUUACACUUUGAAGUUCUUGUGUAACACGCCGCUAAACCCGCUCAACUUUUGUUGAACUUUUCACAAGGUUGACCUCGGAUCAGGUAGGAAUACCCGCUGAACUUAAGCAUAUCAAUAAGCGGAGGA